rnacentral:rRNA from 1 species
GACGAACGCUGGCGGCUUGCUUAACACAUGCAAUUCGAACGGAAAGGCCCUGCUUUUGUGGUGUGCUCGAGUGGCGAACGGGUGAGUAACACGUUAGUAACCUUCCCUUUACCUUUGGAUAACUUCAGGAAACUGGGGCUAAUACCGGAUAGGUGCUCCUGCUGCAUGGUGUGGGUUGUAAAGGUUCGGCGGUUGGGGAUUGACUCGCGGCUUAUCAGCUUGUUGGUUGGGUAGUGGCUUACCAAGUCUUAGACGGGUAGCCGGCCUGAGAGGGUGACCGGCCACAAUGGGACUGAGAGACGGCCCAGACGCCUACGGGAGGCAGCAGUGGGGAGUAUUGCAGAAUGGGCGGAAGUCAGAGGUAGAAACGUCGCGUGCGGGAUAACGGGUUUCGGGGUGUAAACAGAUUUGGCAGGUGACGAAGAGGGAGUGACGGUAAUGGGUAAAGAAGCAACGGCUAACUACGUG